CGCAGCGUGGCGUAAUGGUAAAGAGUAGGGCUCGUAACCGAAAGGUUGCCGGUUCGAUUCCCCGCUGGGG